rnacentral:rRNA from 1 species
AUUGAACGCUGGCGGCAGGCCUAACACAUGCAAGUCGAGCGGAUGAAGGGAGCUUGCUCCUGGAUUCAGCGGCGGACGGGUGAGUAAUGCCUAGGAAUCUGCCUGGUAGUGGGGGAUAACGUCCGGAAACGGGCGCUAAUACCGCAUACGUCCUGAGGGAGCAAGUGGGGGAUCUUCGGACCUCACGCUAUCAGAUGAGCCUAGGUCGGAUUAGCUAGUUGGUGGGGUAAAGGCCUACCAAGGCGACGAUCCGUAACUGGUCUGAGAGGAUGAUCAGUCACACUGGAACUGAGACAGGGUCCAGACUCCUACGGGAGGCAGCAGUGUGGAAUAUUGGACAAUGGGCGAAAGCCUGAUCCAGCCAGGCCGCGUGUGUUGAGAAGGUCUUCGGAUUGUAAAGCACUUUAAGUUGGGAGGAAGGGCAGUAAGUUAAUACCUUGCUGUUUUGACGUUACCAACAGAAUAAGCACCGGCUAACUUCGUG